rnacentral:misc_RNA from 1 species
AAGUCGUAACAAGGUUUCCGUAGGUGAACCUGCGGAAGGAUCAUUAACACGUAUCCAACGUUAAAAACCCCGUGAACCUUUAUCGCCGCUCCUCAUGGCUAAGUCUUGGAUAAAGCCAACACAGCAAUCCCUGCACUCGUCGAGAAAUGUAAAGAGGAGGGACCUCUGUUUGGUAGAGCACUGUGGGUUUGAGCGCUUGGUAAAAGUCUAAGGAUUUCGCUUAACGAUCACUAGAGGUCGAUUACCGACCGGUGGAACAAGUCACAGGGCUUCGGCUCCCUCCCCAACCCCACUUUCUAUUGCCGCUCCGCGCUAACAACGCCGGGCAUUAAAAAAGGUUUAAACAACUGUUAACAAUGGAUAUCUUGGUUCUC